rnacentral:lncRNA from 1 species
GAGAUCUGAAUGAUGACAAUGAGGAGGUCAGGUGAAGAUCCUGGACAAGAAGAUUCUUAGCAGAAGGCACGGCAGGAACAAAGGGCCUGAGAGUGGAAUGAGCUUGCUUCAGCGGAGUCAGUGAGAGGCCCUGGCGCCCAGAACAUGGGAGCAAGGGAGCGGGGCCAUUGUGAGAGCAGAAAGACAGACAGGUGCCGGGUCAGGUAGGACUCUGAGGACCGAGGGAAGGAGUUUGGAUUUUACUCUGGUUCAGGGAGAGGCCUUUGGAGGGUUUCAAGUAGGGGAAAUAUGUAAUCUGAUUUUGCUUCAAGAAGACUCCUCCAGCUGGCUGCUCUGUGGAGGAAACAGACGGACGGAAGAGAGCUGGCAUUUUGUUCUAAGGAGGGACACUAUUAUACAUUUUCCUCUAUAUUACUUGCACCAUUGCUGAUAACCACUCAGGCCAACUGCAUGAAUUACUGGUAACAGCACGGAGAAGUCAGCCUCUUGAGCUCAAGCCUUCACAUCUUGAGGCACUGCCUGAGAUGACCUACUUAACCCGAGUGAGGCAGGGCAGACUAGAAAGGCCGCAAGACCAUUAUUUCACAGAAUGUGUCUGGCAUGUUUUGCACUGACUAACAGAGAGAACACUGCAUCGACCGCGACAUAAUUACACUUCCUUCUGUACAACGUCGUCCACACCUGACAUGUGGAAUGUGCCCAGGACUGGCUGUGAACCCUACAAAACUGCCGUACGAUAAAUUAUCGCCAUCAUUCCUCACAAGGCUUGGUCACAUUUGCCCGUAGCCAUUGGACGGACCUACCUUUUAAAAAUAGAUGUGUUUUUGCGCUCUUGAAACUACUUAUUUUCUUGCUCUUUGUCACAGCCAGCCUAGUUUAAGCUGACGGUAAAAAGAGGUUUUGGAGGUUUUCCACCACAAGGUUAUUUAAA